GGCUUGUUGAUUAUAAUUUCAAGUCUAGUCUGCCCAAUGAUUGGUUUAAAUGGCCGCAGUAUAUUGACUGUGCAAAGGUAGCAUAAUCAUUAGUUUUUUAAUUAAAAGCUUGUAUGAACGGCUUAAUGAAAAAGUUUCUGUCUCUUGGAAAAUUUAUUAGAAUUUUAUUUUUAAGUGAAAAAGCUUAAAUUUUUAUUGAAGACGAGAAGACCCUAUAGAGUUUAAUAUUGACAAGUAAUAGAAUUUUUAGUAUUAGAAAAUUUAUUUUUAUGUUUAUUUAUUUAGUUGGGGUGACGGAAAAAUUAGCUAAACUUUUUUUUUACUAAAUCAUUAAUUUUUGAGUUUUUGAUCCUUAUAUAAAGAUUAAAAGAAAAAAUUACCUUAGGGAUAACAGCGUAAUUUUUUCUAGAGUUCUUAUCGAAGAUAAAGUUUGCGACCUCGAUGUUGGAUUAAAAUUAAUUAUUGGUGUAGAAGCUAGUAGGUUAGGUCUGUUCGACCUUUUAAAUUUUACAUGAUCUGAGUUUAAACCGGUGUGAG
rnacentral:rRNA from 1 species